rnacentral:rRNA from 1 species
CCUACGGGAGGCAGCAGUGAGGAAUAUUGGUCAAUGGUCGGGAGACUGAACCAGCCAAGCCGCGUGAGGGAUGAAGGUACAGAGUAUCGUAAACCUCUUUUGUCAGGGAACAAAGGCGGGGACGUGUCCCCGGAUGAGUGUACCUGAAGAAAAAGCAUCGGCUAACUCCGUGCCAGCAGCCGCGGUAAUACGGAGGAUGCGAGCGUUAUCCGGAUUUAUUGGGUUUAAAGGGUGCGCAGGCGGGCUGUUAAGUCAGCGGUCAAAGCCCGGGGCUCAACCCCGGCCCGCCGUUGAAACUGGCAGUCUAGAGUUGGAGAGAAGUAUGCGGAAUGCGCGGUGUAGCGGUGAAAUGCAUAGAUAUCGCGAAGAACUCCGAUUGCGAAGGCAGCAUGCCGGCUCCACACUGACGCUGAGGCACGAAAGCGUGGGUAUCGAACAGGAUUAGAUACCCCAGUAGUC